rnacentral:rRNA from 1 species
CCUACGGGAGGCAGCAGUGAGGAAUAUUGGUCAAUGGGCGCAAGCCUGAACCAGCCAAGUAGCGUGAAGGAUGACUGCCCUAUGGGUUGUAAACUUCUUUUAUAUGGGAAUAAAGUGCAUUAUGUAUACUGCUUUGCAUGUACCUUAUGAAUAAGGAUCGGCUAACUCCGUGCCAGCAGCCGCGGUAAUACGGAGGGUCCGAGCGUUAUCCGGAUUUAUUGGGUUUAAAGGGAGCGUAGGUGGGUUGUUAAGUCAGUUGUGAAAGGUUGGGGCUCAACCGUAAAAUUGCAAUUGAUACUGGCGGUCUUGAGUACGGGGGAGGGAGGCGGAAUUCGUGGUGUAGCGGUGAAAUGCUUAGAUAUCACGAAGAACCCCGAUUGCGAAGGCAGCUUGCUAAAGUGGGACUGACGUUGAUGCUCGAAAGUGUGGGUAUCAAACAGGAUUAGAUACCCUAGUAGUC